rnacentral:lncRNA from 1 species
GGAUGAAGUCAUCCACAUGUGGUAUCCACAUGGACAUAAGGCAGAGCUUCUCGGAGAAUCUCUCAGGAGAGCAUCAUCAGGACACUUUGACCAGUGACCAAGUCAGCCAUCGCCGUCUUCCCUGGCUCACCACCCAUCACUGAUUCACUGGAAAAUGUGAGAAAUUACUUAAUAAAGAACUGCCCUGGGGAAAUGGACAGGUAAUAGGCUUUAAAGAAAUAAUUUAAUCUCAUGCUUCGUUUAGUAAGAACUAUGUCCACAGUCCUGCCACCAGCAAGAAAAAUAAACAGCA